rnacentral:rRNA from 1 species
GAAUNUACGACUCCCCGCUGUNUGCUAUCUAGCANUGGGNUAGUUCGUUCNAUGGCUCAGCANUUGCCCGCUCGGUCUUGCACAGCUUUACACAUGCAAGUCGAACGGUAACAGGUCUUCGGAUGCUGACGAGUGGCGAACGGGUGAGUAAUACAUCGGAACGUGCCUAGUAGUGGGGGAUAACUACUCGAAAGAGUAGCUAAUACCGCAUGAGAUCUACGGAUGAAAGCAGGGGACCUUCGGGCCUUGUGCUACUAGAGCGGCUGAUGGCAGAUUAGGUAGUUGGUGGGGUAAAGGCUUACCAAGCCUGCGAUCUGUAGCUGGUCUGAGAGGACGACCAGCCACACUGGGACUGAGACACGGCCCAGACUCCUACGGGAGGCAGCAGUGGGGAAUUUUGGACAAUGGGCGAAAGCCUGAUCCAGCAAUGCCGCGUGCAGGAUGAAGGCCCUCGGGUUGUAAACUGCUUUUGUACGGAACGAAAAGCCUGGGGCUAAUAUCCCCGGGUCAUGACGGUACCGUAAGAAUAAGCACCGGCUAACUACGUGCCAGCAGCCGCGGUAAUACGU